UACGAAGGGGGCUAGCGUUGCUCGGAAUCACUGGGCGUAAAGCGCACGUAGGCGGAUUGCUAAGUCAGGGGUGAAAUCCUGGAGCUCAACUCCAGAACUGCCUUUGAUACUGGCGAUCUCGAGUUCGGGAGAGGUGAGUGGAACUGCGAGUGUAGAGGUGAAAUUCGUAGAUAUUCGCAAGAACACCAGUGGCGAAGGCGGCUCACUGGCCCGAUACUGACGCUGAGGUGGCGAAAGCGUGGGGAGCAAACAGG
rnacentral:rRNA from 1 species